rnacentral:rRNA from 1 species
GCAUAUCAAUAAGCGGAGGAAAAGAAACUAACAAGGAUUCCCCUAGUAACUGCGAGUGAAGCGGGAAAAGCUCAAAUUUAAAAUCUGGCGGUCUUUGGCCGUCCGAGUUGUAGUCUGGAGAAGUGCUUUCCGCGCUGGACCGUGUACAAGUCUCUUGGAACAGAGCGUCAUAGAGGGUGAGAAUCCCGUCUUUGACACGGACUACCAGUGCUUUGUGAUGUGCUCUCAAAGAGUCGAGUUGUUUGGGAAUGCAGCUCAAAAUGGGUGGUAAAUUCCAUCUAAAGCUAAAUAUUGGCGAGAGACCGAUAGCGAACAAGUACCGUGAGGGAAAGAUGAAAAGCACUUUGGAAAGAGAGUUAAACAGUACGUGAAAUUGCUGAAAGGGAAACGCUUGAAGUCAGUCGCGUUGGCCAGGACUCAGCCUUGCUUUUGCUUGGUGCAUUUUCUGGUUGACGGGCCAGCAUCGAUUUUGACCGCUGGAAAAAGGUUAGGGGAAUGUGGCACCUUCGGGUGUGUUAUAGCCCUUAGUCGCAUACAGUGGUUGGGAUCGAGGACCGCAGCACGCCUUUAUGGCCGGGGUUCGCCCACGUUCGUGCUUAGGAUGCUGGCGUAAUGGCUUUAAACGACCCGUCUUGAAACACGGACCAAGGAGUCUAACAUGCCUGCGAGUGUUUGGGUGGAAAACCCGAGCGCGUAAUGAAAGUGAAAGUUGAGAUCCCUGUCGUGGGGAGCAUCGACGCCCGGACCUGAACUUCGGUGAUGGAUCUGCGGUAGAGCAUGUAUGUUGGGACCCGAAAGAUGGUGAACUAUGCCUGAAUAGGGUGAAGCCAGAGGAAACUCUGGUGGAGGCUCGUAGCGAUUCUGA